AUUGAACGCUGGCGGCAGGCUUAACACAUGCAAGUCGAGCGGGGUGAUGGUGCUUGCACUAUCACUUAGCGGCGGACGGGUGAGUAAUGCUUAGGAAUCUGCCUAUUAGUGGGGGACAACAUCGCGAAAGGGGUGCUAAUACCGCAUACGUCCUACGGGAGAAAGCAGGGGAUCACUUGUGACCUUGCGCUAAUAGAUGAGCCUAAGUCGGAUUAGCGAGUUGGUGGGGUAAAGGCCUACCAAGGUGACGAUCUGUAGCGGGUCUGAGAGGAUGAUCCGCCACACUGGGACUGAGACACGGCCCAGACUCCUACGGGAGGCAGCAGUGGGGAAUAUUGGACAAUGGGGGGAACCCUGAUCCAGCCAUGCCGCGUGUGUGAAGAAGGCCUUAUGGUUGUAAAGCACUUUAAGCGAGGAGGAGGCUCUUUUGGUUAAUACCCAAGAUGAGUGGACGUUACUCGCAGAAUAAGCACCGGCUAACUCUGUGCCAGCCGCCGCAGUAA
rnacentral:rRNA from 1 species